UACGAAGGGGGCUAGCGUUGCUCGGAAUUACUGGGCGUAAAGCGCACGUAGGCGGAUCCUUAAGUCGGUGGUGAAAUCCUGAAGCUCAACUUCAGAACUGCCUUCGAUACUGGGGACCUUGAGUUCGGGAGAGGUGAGUGGAACUGCGAGUGUAGAGGUGAAAUUCGUAGAUAUUCGCAAGAACACCAGUGGCGAAGGCGGCGAUCUGGGUCGAUACUGACGCUGAGGUGCGAAAGCGUGGGGAGCAAACAGG
rnacentral:rRNA from 1 species